rnacentral:rRNA from 1 species
UGGGGAAUAUUGGACAAUGGGCGCAAGCCUGAUCCAGCCAUGCCGCGUGAGUGACGAAGGUCUUCGGAUUGUAAAGCUCUUUUUGGCGGGGACGAUAAUGACGGUACCCGCAGAAUAAGCCCCGGCUAACUUCGUGCCAGCAGCCGCGGUAAUACGAAGGGGGCUAGCGUUGUUCGGAAUUACUGGGCGUAAAGCGCACGUAGGCGGAUCUAUAAGUCAGGGGUGAAAUCCCGGGGCUCGACCUCGGAACUGCCUUUGAUACUGUAGAUCUCGAGUCCGGAAGAGGUGAGUGGAAUUCCUAGUGUAGAGGUGAAAUUCGUAGAUAUUAGGAAGAACACCAGUGGCGAAGGCGGCCAACUGGCUCGAUACUGACGCUGAGGUGCGAAAGCGUGGGGAGCAAACAGGAUUAGAUACCCCAGUAGUCCCUGAGCGGGCUGGCAAGGCGCAU